GUGUCACAACAAUGAGGCUGAUUUCAGAGCUUUAAUAUACUGCAUUCAUGAUGUCAUUUGCAUGUUUGUGGUGCAGUGAUUCAUCUGAUUCGUGUUUCCACCGCAGACAGACGCUUCUCAUGCUCCAUUACAGAUCAGAAGGACUGAUGGGAUGUUGGCAAGGCAUAAUGGACGGUGCAACACAAGCUUCUCUGAAGAGAAAUCCUGCAGGAUUCCAGGCAUGUGUUUCUGUGGAAUUGCCGGAUUGAUGCUCAGGAACUGCUUCACGGAUGAGAGGCUUUGAUAAAUGUGUGAAUGUAAAUUCAGUCGUCCCGUCACCUUAAUCUAAACUCGCCGGUUGUGAUUUGCACAUGUUUUGCAUGAGAUCUGAAGCUUCUGCUGUUGAGUAACUGUUUAAAUUUCCAGUUUCAGCUUUGUUUCACUUCAAGUUUGUCCACUGCGGAUUCAUUUCUUCAUGAAUGAAACUUGUGACUGAGACAUGAUUGUUCAUAUUUAAAAUAAAAGGAAUGUAAAAGAUUA